CAAGUGCAUGUGGUGGAUGCCUUGGCGAUUACAGGCGACGAAAGACGUGAUAGCCUGCGAUAAGCUUCGGGGAGCUGGCAAAUAAGCUUUGAUCCGGAGAUUUCUGAAUGGGGAAACCCACCUGUCAUAAGGCAGGUAUCGUAUGAUGAAUACAUAGUCAUACGAGGCGAACGAGGGGAAGUGAAACAUCUCAGUACCCUCAGGAAGAGAAAACAACCGUGAUUCCG
rnacentral:rRNA from 1 species